AUUCUAUUCUAAGGUACCCUCCUUUAUGACAGAACCAUACAGAAAGACAUGCAAAGCACUCUACAUUGGCUACAGCUUAAGACUAGCCUCAUAAAUGUUUUUUCUCUUUCUCCCAUUUAUCAGAACUUCACAGAGAAUAUAAACAGUGAUUUUAUCAUUCAUUCAACUGGUUUGCACAGGGAGAGGGAGGCCAGAAGUCUGACUGAUAUUAAUAAGGAUCUUGAGAUGACAUCAUACUGGAUUUUCCUAGUACACCCUAAAUCUGUAAAUAAGACUAUUUGAGGAUGGAAGCAGAGCUUGCAGUUAUGCAGCUACAAGACAAAGAAUGCCUUGAGCCACCAGCACCUGAAAGAGGCAGAGGAGGUAGGAGAAGUAAUGAAAAAAAUCCAUGGGUGACAUCAUCAACUAAGCCAGGUGACAAAUAAUCAGCAUAAAACCAAGAAUACAAGAGUAGUUGUCCUAAUCCUUGCCAGCAUGGGGCCAGUACCAUGUGGGGUUAAGGGCAAAGAUAAAAUUAAGAUCAAAGGAAGAAUUGGAA